CCAAUAGCGUAUAUUAAAGUUGUUGCAGUUAAAAAGCUCGUAGUUGAACUUCGGGGUUCACCCAUUGGUCAGGCUUAAUUGUCUGUACUGGUGAGAUGAGUCUCUACCUUCUGAGGAACUUUCAUGCCAUUUAUUUGGUGUGGUUGGAAAUCAGGACUGUUACUUUGAAAAAAUUAGAGUGUUUAAAGCAGGCUAACGUC
rnacentral:rRNA from 1 species